rnacentral:lncRNA from 1 species
AGGCCGGGAGAGUGAGUGAUUUCAGCACGAACUCCCCAGCGUCCCCACCGCCUUCCAGCCCCCAGAGCCAGCGUGUCUCGGCACAGAGCGGACAACGACAGGGCCGGAGUCCCCAGCAGCUUUUGCCACUGACGAAGCCCGGGCACCAUGAAUGCAAGCGACUUCCGCCGGCGGGGGAAGGAGAUGGUGGAUUACGUGGCUGACUACCUGGAGGGCAUCGAGGGUCGCCAGGUGUACCCCGACGUGCAGCCCGGCUACCUGCGCCCCCUGAUCCCCGCCACCGCCCCCCAGGAGCCAGACACGUUUGAGGACAUCCUUCAGGACGUUGAGAAGAUAAUCAUGCCGGGGGUGACCCACUGGCACAGCCCCUACUUCUUCGCCUACUUCCCCACGGCCAGCUCGUACCCGGCCAUGCUCGCCGACAUGCUGUGUGGGGCCAUUGGCUGCAUCGGCUUCUCCUGGGCUGCCAGCCCAGCAUGCACGGAGCUGGAGACAGUGAUGAUGGACUGGCUGGGGAAGAUGCUGCAGCUGCCCGAGGCGUUUCUGGCUGGAGAGGCCGGAGAAGGCGGCGGGGUGAUCCAGGGAAGUGCCAGUGAAGCUACCUUGGUGGCUCUGCUGGCCGCUCGGACCAAAGUGGUGGUGGCUACGCUGGGGACCACAUCGUGCUGCUCCUUUGACAAUCUCUUAGAAGUGGGACCCAUCUGUCAUGAAGAGGACAUAUGGCUGCACGUGGAUGCUGCCUACGCAGGCAGUGCCUUCAUCUGCCCUGAGUUCCGGCACCUGCUGAAUGGAGUGGAGUUUGCAGAUUCAUUUAACUUUAAUCCCCACAAAUGGCUCUUGGUGAAUUUUGACUGCUCGGCUAUGUGGGUGAAAAGGAGAACGGACCUGACUGGAGCCUUCAAAUUGGACCCCGUGUACUUAAAGCACAGCCACCAGGACUCGGGGCUUAUCACGGACUACAGGCACUGGCAGCUGCCACUGGGUCGGCGAUUCCGGUCCCUGAAAAUGUGGUUUGUUUUCAGGAUGUACGGAGUCAAGGGACUGCAGGCCUAUAUCCGCAAGCACGUGCAGCUGUCUCAUGAGUUUGAGGCAUUUGUGCUUCAGGAUCCCCGCUUUGAAGUCUGUGCCGAAGUCACCCUGGGGCUGGUGUGUUUCCGGCUGAAGGGCUCCGACGGACUGAAUGAAGCGCUUCUGGAAAGGAUAAACAGCGCCAGGAAAAUCCACUUGGUUCCCUGUCGCCUGAGGGGUCAGUUCGUGCUGCGGUUUGCCAUCUGCUCGCGCACGGUGGAGUCGGGCCACGUGCGGCUGGCCUGGGAGCACAUCCGAGGGCUGGCGGCCGAGCUGCUGGCCGCGGAGGAGGGAAAGGCAGGUAGGCCGCACUGCCGUCCGUGCACGGGGGCGACGGAGCAGGGCCCUCGGCUGCAGAAGUGGACAGAACGGAUGCCGCGGGGAGGCUCUAGGAACGUGGAGAGAGGUCUGCUCUGUACUCUUUUCUGAGAGAUGGUCAAUCAUGUAUCAUAUGACUUGCCCUCAGGUUUCUUCAGGGUGGCGAAGGCAGCUUACUGUCACUGCAAGCUUAUUUAUUCAGCAGGCAAACUAUACAUGAGUGGAAAUGAAUGAACCCCCCAAAAAAGGCAAUUUGGGAGUUCUCACUGUGGCAGAGUGGGUUAAGAAGCUAACCACAGAUGCCCAGGUUGAUGAGGAGGCAUGGGUUCAAUCCCCGGCCUGGUGCCAUGGGUUAAAGAUCCAGCAUUGCCUCAGCUGUGGUGUAGGUCAUGGCCGUGGCUCGGAUUCAAUCCCUGGCCCAGGAACUUCCAUUUGCUGCAGGUGUGGCCACAACUUUUUUUUUUUAAAGGCAAUUUGACAUGACUGAUGGUUUACAGUCAGGAAGAACCAAAUUCAUGAUGGUUUAGAGCAGGGAAAAGUCUGGAAUGCUGGGCAUCCUUUGCAGGAAAGCAGGCGGGCAAUGCUGAAGGAAAACGCACGAACGCAGCACUGGUGACGGGCUGAAAUGAUGCCUGUGGAGCCACAGGGAUCUUAAGAGCAUCGCUAGUUCCUUAGGGAGGUCACGCCACUGGACGUUGUCCACCUUCCUGGUUUCUUUUUUCUUUUCAUCCCACUUGGCGGCUGGGGUGGUCGGUAGUGGGAGCUUCUGCUGCCCUUUCUCUUUUCCUGCCCGCUGCCCGUCUCGUCACCUUCGGACGUCUAACCAAAGUGGGCGAUGCAAUUAGCCUUCAGCUUGACCUUCUGUGCUGUAAACUGGGAAUACCUGAGAUAUUGUGGGGCUCAAAACCCGGAGGGUAAAGACCCUAUGUCAUUUAUGGGGAGGCCCAUCCACGGCUGCUAGCCUGAGAGGUCCGGGAUCCACCUCCUCUGCCCCGAAACACCAGGUCCCCUUCCUAGCUCAGCAAAGCCCUUUCCUUUCUUUUUUUUUUUUUUUCGUCUUUUUUUUUUUUUUUUGUCUUUUUGCCAUUUCUUGGGCCACUCCCGUGGCAUGUGGAGGUUCCCAGGCUAGGGGUCGAAUCGGAGCUGUCGCCACCAGCCUACACCAGAGCCACAGCAAUGCGGGAUCCGAGCCGCGUCUGCAACCUACACCACAGCUCACAGCAAUGCUGGAUCCUUAACCCACUGAGCAAGGCCAGGGAUCGAACCUGCAAUCUCAUGGUUCCUAGUCGGAUUCGCUAACCACUGCGCCACGACGGGAACUCCAGCAAAGCCCUUUCCUAAAAGUCUGCUGCUUGUAAGCCGAGGGGCCACCCUCUGGAGAGCAACCGCAAAGUUCUAGCUUGAGAAGAGGUGGGGGAGAGGCCCAUAUUUCCAGAUUACCCCAUUGCUCCGAGAUAAGCAUGCCUGGGUGGCGGGGCUGUGUGCGUAGGUGGGGAAAGAAGACACAUUCAAAACAAACCCAUACGAGGCAGACACUCCAGAGGAACGUUUCUGCAGCCUGUGUCUGCGUAUCUCAUUCCAUCGUACUCUUAUCCCCGUGUGUCCAAAACAACACAGGAAGAGACCGUGGCUCAGAAAAACGAUCAGAAACAGAGGCGCAUUUCUGACAGAAGUCACAACUUACCGUGGAGUCAUUAUAUCAUUUCAAAAGGUUUUUAAAUAACCUUCCCCCCUCCCUUUUUUUGGCCAUCCUGGCUGCAUAUGGAAGUUCCCAGCCCAGGCAUGCAAUCCAAGCUAGAGCUGCAGUCUCUGCCACAACUGCAGCAAUGCAGGCUGCUUAAUCCACUGUGCCAGGCCCGGACUUGAACCGGUGCCCCCACAGAGACAAGUCGAAUCAUUAACCCACUGUGCCACAGCGGAAACUCCAGGUUUAAUAUUUUUUGACAUAGGAUAUAAUAGUAAAUUGUAAUGCAUAUAUGUUGUUUGGGUCAGAUUAACUAGAGGGAUGAAAAUCUUAAUCCCUUGGUUUUACUCGUAAAACUUAUGUAAAUGGGAGUUCCCCUGGUAAUGAACCCAACCAGUAUCCAUGAGAACCUGGGUUUGAUCCCUGGCCUCACUUAGUAGGUCAGGGAUCUGGUGUUGCUAUGGGCUGUGGUAUAGGUCGCAGACGUGGCUUGGAUCCCAUGUUGCUGGGGCUGUGGUGUAGGCCCGCAGCUGCAGCUCUGAUUUGACCCAGGAACUUCCUUAUGCCAAGGGUGCGGCCCUAAAAAGCCAAAAAAAAAAAAAAAAAAAAAAAAAAAGUGAAUGUACAUCAAAUCCGCAAUGUCAUAGUUGUGAAAGAAACUAUCCUAUUUCGCAGUAGAUAGAAAACUGGACCCAGAUUCUAGUUGACAUUAAUAAAAUGUAUCCUAGAGAAGCCAGAUCGGCAAUACAAACGUUUCUUUCAGCUCAAACUCUCUUCCAUUGGACGGUUCGCCAAACGGUAGAGUCCUUCUUUGUGUUCAAAUGAGGAAUAUACACAUUCUGAUUUUUAAGCUUUUUUGAAUAUAGCCAUAUGUUCAAGUUAUUUUUUCCCUGUAGAGAUCAAAAGUUGAAGUGCCCUGAAGAGCAGAAUCGGAGGAGACGCGUCGUCCCCGCUCCGAGGCGUAGAGCCUGCAUGUGGUCCCCCCACUUCUUUAGCCCACGUUCUCCAGAAAGAAGCUUGUGCCUACGUCUGACCAGCCUCUCAGCAAUGAAGAAGUAUUAUCUGCUCUUUGAAAAGUUAAUCCCAGUGGAGACAGCUUUUACUCUUUAUUUGGCUGUGAUUGUUUGUUGAUUAAAACAUCAUAGGUUUCUGCAUCCUUGAAGUUGUCAGCGGUGGUCCACUUUCCGGGGCAACCUAUGCUGAUGGGAUUUGAGAUGAUACCCGUGGUCUUUAAAUUACUCUGUCCUGUGGCUUAGUGCUUAAUAAAUGAUGUGAAGUG